UAGGGAAUCUUCGGCAAUGGGGGGAACCCUGACCGAGCAACGCCGCGUGAGUGAAGAAGGUUUUCGGAUCGUAAAGCUCUGUUGUUAAGGAAGAACGAGUGUGAGAAUGGAAAGUUCAUACUGUGACGGUACUUAACCAGAAAGGGACGGCUAACUACGUUCCAGCAGCCGCGGUAAUACGUAGGUCCCGAGCGUUGUCCGGAUUUAUUGGGCGUAAAGCGAGCGCAGGCGGUUAGAUAAGUCUGAAGUUAAAGGCAGUGGCUCAACCAUUGUAGGCUUUGGAAACUGUUUAACUUAAGUGCAGAAGGGGGGGAUGGAAUUCCAUGUGUAGCGGUGAAAUGCGUAGAUAUAUGGAGGAACACCGGUGGCGAAAGCGGCUCUCUGGUCUGUAACUGACGCUGAGGCUCGAAAGCGUGGGGAGCGAACAGG
rnacentral:rRNA from 1 species